AACGAACGCUGGCGGCAUGCCUAACACAUGCAAGUCGAACGAGACCUUCGGGUCUAUUGGCGCACGGGUGCGUAACGCGUGGGAACCUGCCCUUAGGUUCGGAAUAACUCCCCGAAAGGGGUGCUAAUACCGGAUAAUGUCUUCGGACCAAAGAUUUAUCGCCUUUGGAUGGGCCCGCGUUGGAUUAGCUAGUUGGUAGGGUAAAAGCCUACCAAGGCGACGAUCCAUAGCUGGUCUGAGAGGAUGAUCAGCCACACUGGGACUGAGACACGGCCCAGAAUCGUACGGGAGGCAGCAGUGGGGAAUAUUGGACAAUGGGCGAAAGCCUGAUCCAGCAAUGCCGCGUGAGUGAUGAAGGCCUUAGGGUUGUAAAGCUCUUUUACACGGGAUGAUAAUGACAGUAACGGGAGAAUAAGCUCCGGCUAACUCCGUG
rnacentral:rRNA from 1 species